GACGAACGCUGGCGGCGUGCUUAACACAUGCAAGUCGAACGGGAUUUAGUAAACAGAAACCUCGGUGGAAGAUUACUAAUGAGAGUGGCGAACGGGUGAGUAACGCGUGAGCAACCUGCCUAUGACAGUGGGAUAGCCUCGGGAAACCGGGAUUAAUACCGCAUAAAAUCGUAGAAACACAUGUUUCAACGGUCAAAGAUUUAUCGGUCAUAGAUGGGCUCGCGUCUGAUUAGCUAGUUGGUGAGAUAACAGCCCACCAAGGCGACGAUCAGUAGCCGGUCUGAGAGGAUGAACGGCCACAUUGGAACUGAGACACGGUCCAA
rnacentral:rRNA from 1 species